GAUGAACGCUAGCUACAGGCUUAACACAUGCAAGUCGAGGGGUAACGAGAGGAAAGCUUGCUUUCCUUGUCGACGACCGGCGCACGGGUGAGUAACGCGUAUCCAACCUGCCCCCAACUAGGGAAUAACCUUGCGAAAGUAAGACUAAUACCCUAUAAUUUCCUCAGAUGACAUCUGACGAGGAAUAAAGAUUUAUCGGUUGUGGAUGGGGAUGCGUCUGAUUAGCUUGUUGGCGGGGUAACGGCCCACCAAGGCAACGAUCAGUAGGGGUUCUGAGAGGAAGGUCCCCCACAUUGGAACUGAGACACGGUCCAAACUCCUACGGGAGGCAGCAGUGAGGAAUAUUGGUCAAUGGGCGGAAGCCUGAACCAGCCAAGUAGCGUGCAGGAUGACGGCCCUAUGGGUUGUAAACUGCUUUUAUACAGGAAUAAAGUUAGCCACGUGUGGUUAUUUGUAGGUACUGUAUGAAUAAGCACCGGCUAACUACGUGCCAGCAGCCGCGGUAA
rnacentral:rRNA from 1 species